CAACAACCAGACUUUUGUAUUUUGAAAAUCCAUCGUAUGAAGCUGUACUGAUAAUGGCAUGACUCUGUAUUCUAUUUCAGCGUUGGUAUUUCUUUCCUCCUUUGUCAUAGCCACGUAGUGUUCACACAUCCAAACAAAUGCCAUAUGCCAUAAUAAAAAGGUGGGAUUUUCUGUGUACGCCUGUUGGUAACUGUAGUACUGUGCAGUGUUUGUGUCCUCAUAGAGUCAUAGAAUGGGUUGGAAUGGACCUCAGGGAUGAUAGACUCCAACCCCACUGCUGCAGGCAGGGCUGAUAUGUGUCCUUAGCAGCCUCCCUUAAAACCAGGCUUAAAAGGGAGUAUUUUUAUAGGAACUCUGCUGACUUGAAGAGGGGAGAGGAGGGGAACCAGCUGUGCUUACAUCUGUGAAGAAAGAGGAGCGUUUAGGAGAAUAAGGAGUGAGCUGAAGGUGUCCUUUGCCGAGGCAGCAUUAGUACAAGCCCUCACAGAGAGCUGGAGCUACGGGAAGUCCUGCUGCCCUCCGUGCAGCACGUGCAAGGCAGGCUGAAUGAUGGUGCAGGAUUUUGCUUUCGCUGCUUGCAGAUUGUUAACAAACAAGCUGAGCUUCCUCUAAGGGGCUCUGCCAUAAGGUGGAUAAUUGCUUGUUUGUUUUGCUGCCAACCUCUUGCGUGAUAAUAACUGAAAAUUACAGCACAAACCUCUCCUGCAUGGAUCCACCGUGGCAUUGACUGAAAUAAUCCAAGUGACUUCACGAAGCAGUUCAGUCCCCCCCAUCUGGGGAGGCUCCUGAAGUGCAGGACGUGGCCGUGCUUUGCCAGCAGGGAGAAGCUGCUGUGUUGCACCUGUCUUUGCCUCUCACAUUCAAAGCAAGCAAACAAAAAUCCUGGCUCAGCCCAGCCUCAGCAUCACCAGCAGUCAUACCACCACCACCACCAUGCUGGGGGACCAGGCAUAAAGGUGGCUCCAUGGUGCUCUUUCCACCAUUGCAAUGGAAUGCGUAUCUCCCUGCAUGCUGCCCCGAUGGCUUUUUUGGGGUCUCCAUCUCAGCGCCCUGCAGGGAUGGGCCACCUGGUGCUGCUACGGAGCAGUGGCUUUGCUGGCUGAGGCUGCAGAGCCAGGUGCUGCGCCCAAAGGUGUGCGUGGUCUCCAGCUUCUGCAUCGCUUCUGCAUUGCUUCGGCAUCACUUCAUCAGAGCCCAGGCUGCUUCUCCCCUGCCAGACACCAAUGAGUUUAUUAAGGGAUUAAAAGUUAGCCUCCCCUCCUUACUGAAUGCUCUGAUUUAUGCAUGCGUUUAAAUCAAUCCCAUUUCCUGCAUUUUAUCCCUUCUCCCCCAGGCUUCCAGGCUCUGCUGGGUGAGACAUGCUAUAAUCACAUUGUUUUGAAGCAAGCGAGGCACCGUGGGUGGUUUAAGUGAUUUGAAUAAACGAGCUGCAUCACUUAGGCACCUCUCCCAGGUGCUAAUUACUACCCCUGCGCUGUAGGUGUCCACGCUUGGACAAGUAUGUGCUGCCUCCCAGUGAAAUAUUAAUGAGUACGCUGGCUAACGAAGAUGCUGGGAUGGAGAUGGGUCUGUCUGCCUGGGGGCUUUGGCUGGCAGCAGGGAUGCCCACUGGGCUGGGGUCUCAUAUCAGCCCUAGGCUGCCCUGGGUGGGUGACUUCCAGGUGCUGGUAGGUGGUUGCUGGAUGCACCGCAUAAGCAGCUUAUUUUGUCAUUUUAAUUUUUUAAUCCCAUGCAUUCAGUUGCGCGCUCUUAUUAGUAAGCAUUAGCUCUCCAAGUCCCAUUAGCUCCACUCAGAGCUCUGGCUUUGCUCGUGGGGACGCUGCUGGGGGAGCCAAUGGGGGCCUGGGGAUGGAUCCCGUGGUUGGUGAUGUCUGUGGGGUCCUACGUGGCUGCAAGGUGGAUCCUGGCCCUGCAGAACCCACAGGGCUCUGUGCAUUGCUGCACUCAUGGCCUCGACCCUCACCUCGAGCAGCCCCAGCGGGGCUCCCCUGGGCUUAUCCCCAUUUGGCACCUCACUGCUUUAAGAGAUAGAUGCAUAAAAUAUAUCCAAACCCACCUCGCCUUCCAUCAGGUCUUCCCUUU
rnacentral:lncRNA from 1 species